rnacentral:rRNA from 1 species
GGUCAAGUUAUUAAGGGUGCAGGGCGGAUGCCUUGGCACUAGGAGCCGAUGAAGGACGUGAUAAGCUGCGAUAAGCUUCGGGGAGUUGCACGUAAACUUUGAUCCGAAGAUUUCCGAAUGAGGAAACUCACUUAGAGUAAUGUCUAAGUAUCAUUAAGUGAAUACAUAGCUUAAUGAGGGGAACUCAGGGAACUGAAACAUCUAAGUACCUGAAGGAAGAGAAAGAAAUUCGAUUCCGUAAGUAGCGGCGAGCGAACGCGGAUUAGCCCAAACCAAUAAAGUUUUCUUUAUUGGGGUUGCGGACAUAUCAUAACGAAGAGGUAUCGUAAUUGAAGAGGUUUGGAAAGACCCACCACAGAAGGUAAUAGUCCUGUAUGUUAAACGAGAAGACUUUAGAUAUGAUCCAGAGUACCACGGGACACGUGAAACCCUGUGGGAAGCAGGAGGGACCACCCUCCAAGGCUAAAUACUACCUAGUGACCGAUAGCGUAUAGUACCGUGAGGGAAAGGUGAAAAGAACCCCGGGAGGGGAGUGAAAUAGAACCUGAAACCCUGCACUUACAAGCUGUGGAAGCACAUUUCUUGUGUGACCGCGUACUUUUUGUAGAACGGGCCAACGAGUUACGUUAAGUAGCAAGGUUAAGCACUUAAGGUGCGGAGCCGUAGCGAAAGCGAGUUUUAACUGAGCGUUCAGUUACUUGACGUAGACCCGAAACCGGGCGACCUACCCAUGAGCAGGAUGAAGCGAAAGUAAAAUUUCGUGGAGGUCCGAACCCACGAGCGUUGAAAAGCUCGGGGAUGACUUGUGGGUAGCGGUGAAAUUCCAAUCGAGCCCGGAGAUAGCUGGUUCUCCCCGAAAUAGCUUUAGGGCUAGCCUCAAGGUGAGAGAUACGGAGGUAGAGCACUGAAUGUCCUAGGGGGUAUUGCACCUACCGAAGACUAUCAAACUCCGAAUGCCGUCAUCUUAUACUUGGGAGUCAGACUGUGGGUGAUAAGAUUCAUAGUCGAAAGGGCAACAGCCCAGAUCGUCAGCUAAGGUCCCUAAAUGUAAGUUAAGUGGUAAAGGAUGUGGGAUUGCACAGACAACCAGGAUGUUGGCUUAGAAGCAGCCACUCAUUCAAAGAGUGCGUAAUAGCUCACUGGUCGAGUGAUCCUGCGCCGAAGAUUUCCGGGGCUAAAACUUACUACCGAAGCUACGGCAUCAGUAAUGAUGGGUAGGGGAGCUUCCCAUACGGGUUGAAGCAUGACCGUAAGGACAUGUGGACAGUAUGGGAGUGAGAAUGUUGGCAUGAGUAGCGAGAUGUGGGUGAGAAUCCCACAGGCCGUAAACCCAAGGUUUCCAGGGGAAGGUUCGUCCGCCCUGGGUUAGUCGGGACCUAAGCUGAGGCCGAAAGGCGUAGGUGAUGGACAACAGGUUGAUAUUCCUGUACUACCGAUAACCGUUUGAGAGAAGGGAUGACACAGUAGGAUAAGCUAAGCACACUGUUGGUUAUGUGUGCCCAAGCAUUGAGGCAGUCAAAGUAGGCAAAUCCGCUUUGAUAAUGCUGGGAUGUGAUGGGGAGCGAAAUUUAGUAGCGAAGUAGCUGAUUUCACACUGUCAAGAAAAGUCUCUAUCGAGGUUAAAGGUACCCGUACCGCAAACCGACACAGGUGGGUGAGGAGAGUAUCCUAAGGCCAGCGAGAGAACUGUUGUUAAGGAACUCGGCAAAAUGACCCCGUAACUUAGGGAUAAGGGGUGCCACCAUCAGGUGGCCGCAGAGAAUAGGCCCAAGCGACUGUUUACCAAAAACAUAGGUUUCUGCUAAGUCGCAAGACGAUGUAUAGGAGCUGACGCCUGCCCGGUGCUGGAAGGUUAAGGGGAUCUGUUAGAGCAAUCGAAGCAGUGAACUUAAGCCCCAGUAAACGGCGGCCGUAACUAUAACGGUCCUAAGGUAGCGAAAUUCCUUGUCGGGUAAGUUCCGACCCGCACGAAAGGCGUAACGAUUUGGGCACUGUCUCAACAACAGACUCGGUGAAAUUGUAAUUCCGGUGAAGAUGCCGGAUACCUGCGACAGGACGGAAAGACCCCAUGGAGCUUUACUGUAGCUUGACAUUGGGUCUUGGUACUACAUGUACAGGAUAGGUGGGAGGCUUUGAAACCAGGACGCCAGUUUUGGCGGAGCCAUCCUUGGGAUACCACCCUUGUAGUACUGGGACUCUAACCAUAGGCCAUGAAUCUGGUCUUGGGACACUGUCAGGUGGGCAGUUUGACUGGGGCGGUCGCCUCCCAAAAGGUAACGGAGGCGCUCAAAGGUUCUCUCAGUACGGUCGGAAAUCGUACGUAGAGUGUAAAGGCAAAAGAGAGCUUGAUUGCAAGACAUACAGGUCGAGCAAGGAUGAAAAUCGGACUUAGUGAUCCGGUGGUUCUGCGUGGAAGGGCCAUCGCUCAACGGAUAAAAGCUACCCUGGGGAUAACAGGCUUAUCUCCCCCAAGAGUCCACAUCGACGGGGAGGUUUGGCACCUCGAUGUCGGCUCAUCACAUCCUGGGGCUGUAGUAGGUCCCAAGGGUUGGGCUGUUCGCCCAUUAAAGUGGUACGCGAGCUGGGUUCAGAACGUCGUGAGACAGUUCGGUCCCUAUCCGUCGCAGGCGUAGGAAAUUUGAGAAGACCUGUCCUUAGUACGAGAGGACCGGGAUGGACGUACCUCUGGUGUACCAGUUGUCCUGCCAAGGGCAUGGCUGGGUAGCUAUGUACGGAAUGGAUAAGCGCUGAAAGCAUCUAAGCGCGAAGCCAACUUCAAGAUAAGAUUUCCCACCGCAAGGGUAAGACCCCAGAAAGACUAUCUGGUUGAUAGGUCGAAGGUGUAAGUGCAGCAAUGUAUUUAGCUUAUCGAUACUAAUAGGUCGAGGACUUGACCAAUAUUUAUUUGAUGUUCAUUCAUUAGGAUAUAUAUGUAGUUUUUAGGGUGCUAACU